rnacentral:rRNA from 1 species
GAUGAACGCUAGCUACAGGCUUAACACAUGCAAGUCGAGGGGAAACGAUAGAGAAAGCUUGCUUUUUCUAGGCGUCGACCGGCGCACGGGUGAGUAACGCGUAUCCAACCUGCCCAUCACUUGGGGAUAACCUUGCGAAAGUAAGACUAAUACCCAAUGACGUCCAUAGAAGACAUCUGAAAGGGAUUAAAGAUUUAUCGGUGAUGGAUGGGGAUGCGUCUGAUUAGCUUGUUGGCGGGGUAACGGCCCACCAUGGCGACGAUCAGUAGGGGUUCUGAGAGGAAGGUCCCCCACAUUGGAACUGAGACACGGUCCAAACUCCUACGGGAGGCAGCAGUGAGGAAUAUUGGUCAAUGGGCGAGAGCCUGAACCAGCCAAGUAGCGUGCAGGAUGACGGCCCUAUGGGUUGUAAACUGCUUUUAUAAGGGAAUAAAGUGAGCCUCGUGAGGCUUUUUGCAUGUACCUUAUGAAUAAGGACCGGCUAAUUCCGUACCAGCAGCCGCCGUAA